UAGGAAUCCACAUGCAAAGACGGGCAAUAAUUGGACUUCUAGCUAAAGGGACUCCACACCCUCCUGGUGGCACAGUCUCUACAGCCAUUCCAGGGCCAUCUGGAAGCACUCAGAGCCGUCGGGCACAGAGCAGUGGUCCUCAAGCUCGAGUGUGUGCAUCACCAUCACCUGGAGCAGCUACUAAAACACAGAUCACUGGGCUCCGCCUCUGGAAUCUCUGAGGUAGUAGGUCUGGGUAGGGCCCAAGAAUUGGCACUCCUAAUUGAUCCAGGAUCUACACUUUGAAAACACGGCCUGAGGGAGCGGACUUCAGGGGAGCUACAGGGAGGCUUCGCUACUGCUCCCUGCUAGUUCUAGCAUCUUGUGAUCCUGACCAUUUCCACCUAAGGGACUCAGCUUUCACCACGACUUGACUUCAGACCGCUCCAGGUGUGUUCUACCGGGGUGAAGAGAUGCUGAUUUGUUUGAAAAAUUCUAUCCUGCUGUAUCUCUUAAUAUUUGCAUGCAAAAAGAUAUAUUAAAGUGAAUAAAGACAUUUGAGAGACAGGCGAAGAUCAACAUCAGCCAUCGUCACACAUAACCAUGAUGAACCGUGCGCUGAUCUCUCUAAACCACGAGUCAAAACUGACUGAGCAGCCACUUGGGGUCUGAGGCUCCAGGGUCAGCAAACAGGGUUAAUGUUAAACCAAAAAAGGGAGGCUAAGAGCACAAGGGUUUCCCGGGAGUUAAAUGAACUGGAGGGAUGCUAUGUUUCCUGAGACCCCUGGGAAGAUCCUGGACAUGAGAGGGGAUGGAGGGAGGGGGGAAAAGAGAUUCUGAGUCCCCAAAUUACUCAUAUUUUCCACUUCCUGCCAAGGUUACAGAUGGUGCUUCACACACACAAACAUGCACUGCAGACACUGUUCUUCAGGAAGCUGGAGAGAACCAGCCCAUUACUUUUGUUCCUUUGGGAAGAUGACUACAUGUUGUUCCUUUGCUUUCAAGCCUUGAUUUUUUUUCCCCUUUUUUUAUGUGGCAGGCAGCAACCUGUCAACAAACAGACCUUAAUGCCACCACUAAAUGUCGAGCUUAUUUCAACAUUACCUCUGGAGCGGACUGCAAAGGUACAGUUGAGAUAGGUAGCCCCUAAGAUUCUGAGGUGGGGUGGUAUUUAAACUAAAAAUGUAUGUUUGCACCUUAGGUGCAUAGUAGAGUAAUAAUCAGGCCCUAUCAAACAGUUCCUUUUUGCUGUCUGAUUCUUUCAGUUUAUUUAUUUAUUUAUUUUAAAUUUUAUUAAAAAUAAUUUUUUUGGCCACACCACACGGCAUGUGGGAUCUUAGUUCCCCAACCAGGGAUUGAACCCAUGUCCCCUGCACUGGAAGCACAGAGUCUUAACCACUGGACCUUCAGGGAAGUCCCUUGAUUCUUUCAGUUUAAACUGAAAAACAUUAACUUUUCUUCCUUGUUUUGCUAAGCGGGUAGAACUAAGAUAAUUUGUGACAUUUUCAGUUUGACCAAGUGAUUUCCAUAAAUCAAAGAACCACUGGCAGAGGACAUGAUGACUAUACUUCCUCCCCCAGACUGAUUCUCCAAACAGAAAAGACUCUUGUGAUGACACACUGGACUCAGUGAAAUAAUCUGCUUCCAAAAGAAAUAGACACCUGAGGUGACUUAACAUUAAAAAUUACGAAUUAAACCAAAAAA